rnacentral:pre_miRNA from 1 species
GAAUGGGGGAGGUGUCCCAUCAGCCUGGAUUGUGAGAGGGCACAGGCCAGGCUGAGGGGACUCCCAUUGGUGA